rfam:Ictidomys tridecemlineatus contig106357, whole genome shotgun sequence.
GGGGUUGUGGCUCAGUGAUAGAGCACUUGCCUAGCAUGUGCAAGAUGCUGGGUUCGAUCCUCAGCACCA